GACUUCGGUCUGGUGGCGAGUGGCGAACGGGUGAGUAAUGUAUCGGAACGUGCCUAGUAUCGGGGGAUAACUACGCGAAAGCGUACCUAAUACCGCAUACGCCCUACGGGGGAAAGCAGGGGAUCGUAAGACCUUGCACUAUUAAAGCGGCCGAUAUCGGAUUAGCUAGUUGGUGGGGUAACGGCUCACCAAGGCGACGAUCCGUAGCUGGUUUGAGAGGACGACCAGCCACACUGGGACUGAGACACGGCCCAGACUCCUACGGGAGGCAGCAGUGGGGAAUUUUGGACAAUGGGGGAAACCCUGAUCCAGCCAUCCCGCGUGUGCGAUGAAGGCCUUCGGGUUGUAAAGCACUUUUGGCAGGAAAGAAACGUCAUGGGCUAAUACCCCGUGAAACUGACGGUACCUGCAGAAUAAGCACCGGCUAACUACGUGCCAGCAGCCGCGGUAAUACGUAGGGUGCAAGCGUUAAUCGGAAUUACUGGGCGUAAAGCGUGCGCAGGCGGUUCGGAAAGAAAGAUGUGAAAUCCCAGAGCUUAACUUUGGAACUGCAUUUUUAACUACCGAGCU
rnacentral:rRNA from 1 species